rnacentral:lncRNA from 1 species
CUAUUCUAAUGAUGAUUGCUCUAUUGACUGCAUUGUGAGGUGACCUGGGGGAGAAUCAAGGUCAAUGAGGUUGUUGGUUCCUUCCUGACCCAACAUUUUUCAGUCUAUGAUUAAUGGGCUUCUUCUAGUACAGAGACUCCCAGGUAAUGGGUUCCAAUGAGGACACAUUCACUUCACAAUAAGGCCAUGUUUGAAGGGACAAUAUUGCAAAAUUUGGCCACUGUGGAAACAGAAAACUAUCACAUUAGCUCAGGAAAAGAAGAUCUUGGCAUUAAAAAUUUAAUCUUGGAUGUAUUACCUCUAUACCUUCUCCUUCAGGUACUAUAUAUGUCCCACCUGUCAUGCGUUAUUUAGUUUGAUUUUUGUCAUAGCUCAGAGCCCUAUCAAACAACAAAAUCCUACUUAUUUUACAUCUCCCUUUUAAAACCUUAGGCAGUCAGGGUAUUUUAUUGAGCCUUUUAAACGUAGAAAUCUAAUUUUAACUCUUACCAUUAAAUAUCUCCAUACUAGUGUUUUGGAUGAUUUAAUGAGUGGUGCUAUUUAUAGGACAUGAGGUUAUACUCUGAAUUUAUGAACUAUAAAGAAAGUACCAGUAUGCUGACUAACUAAUGAGCUUUUUAAUGAUGAGAAAUAGAUAAAGCUUUAAAAUGCAGAAUGCUUAUCAAGGACCUCAGACAAUAGCAAAGUGGAGCAAUUUAAAAGUACUUACCAGUGCUACUGCUGUGACAGUGAGAAGUGAACUAUUUUCUUUCAUUUUAAAGCACUGCUUUUCAUACAUGGGAGUAAUUUCUAUAUUUUCUUAACUAAAAUUAAAUGCCCUGGUAUAAUCCUCUUUUCUGUAGAGUUCAAAAUAUAAAUAACCUAUUGAUACCACUUGUGAUAAAGCAAGAGAAAAUGCCACUACAAAGAGGGGAAAUAUCUGCAUAUCAACACAGGAUGAUGGGACCCAAGGUUUAGAUGGGUCUGACACUUGAGGCUUGGAGCAGCUUUCAAAACACAGGUGUGCUUCCUCAAGGAGGACCACAGGGCUCUGGGUGGGAGGAGAUGGCCUCUCCAUCUCAGGUGUUUCACAGGCAGCCUGGACUUUCUAAGGGAGUAUCUGAAGUUUGCUUGUGGUUGCCUUUGCCUCUGUGAUGGGGGCAAUAACAUCACACUGUAUGUUGCUCUAAACCACCUUCAUCUUGGGCCUCUAGAGCAUGGUGAUCUAUGCAUGAUCUAACAUCCCUGGGAGGUGGCACUAGCAUGAAGGAAGUGAGCUGUUUCAGAGCACAUAGGUCUACAAACCACUACUGGGAUGUGAAUUUCAAGUCUAAAUUCACAUGAUCUAGGGGUAAAUAAAAGGCUGAGAUAUGCUGGCAUGAUGUGGUCUUGCUUUCUUGUCACUGCUUUGUUGUCAUUGUUAAUAAGGAGCUAGACUGACCUUGUCUUUUCCUUCCUAGGAAGUGAGUUUUCUAGGUGAUCACUUUAAUUGCUCUAUUUUGGACAAUGGAAAGGUCCCUGAGAGUGAGGCAUUCAUGGUUUUUGACACACAGUGCAGACCUACCAGCCUUAACAGCUUCAAUCCUCUAUAGUAUAUAGGAGAGGCAGCAAUUGAAGGAUGAAG